GUAAAUUCUACCUUUUUUUAUCCUAAUUUCCCACUCUUUCUGUGAGGCAAAACCUCACCACACUACACUGAACUUCGACACAAGAGAAGAGGACCGGGCGCUUUGUAUCUUCGGGAUAGGAGUUGGCGGUCUUCUUUAAGAGAACUUUAAUCUAAUACUCAUUAUGGAUCAACUCAUGUUUCCACUCUAUUUUCAUUACGAGGAUGUAUCACGUCAAGAUUCGUUGCUCAAACCGAAUCACGCCAACGUUAUGGUAGUUCCUGGAUCGUGUAAAAUAAUAGUAGUACCAAAGACAACACCUUCUAUCAAAAAUGGAAAAUUGGCUAUGGAGAUUCCGUGCGGUCAGAAAUUAAUACAGACACAAAGGGCUUCAACAGGAAAGUCGUUUCGAUCCAAUCCAUUCUUAGGGUCAAAUAAAGACAAAAAAGGAUAUGUCAGUGACCUAGCGCGACAAAGCACUCUCCGAGGGCAUGGAAUGUCACAUUUUUGGUCAGAAUAUCCACAGUAAUGUCUCUGUUAGAUUCUCCGCUCGAAAUAAAGGAAAGGUCAAUUCAAUUCUUGAUGGAAACGGAAUUUAUGAAUUCUCCCCCGAACUAGAAGAUCAUUUCGAGAUCUUCGAACAUAUUUGAGGGUUCAAUGUUACUAUUGUAACUUUGGCCAACACACAAGAUGAGACUUUACCACCGUGGAGCGGCUUUUUACAAAAAUAUGAGGGGGAAACUGAGUAAGAUGUCGGAGAAGCAAAAUAUACGAGAUCACAAAUGCAGAUUGCUCGCGGCUAGGCUAAAUAUGAAUUGAGACAAAAGCUUUACAAAUCCCUUUGUAAAGUUCCCGAUCUUCCUAGUGAUAUGCGGGACAAACAUCGUUAGUUGUUGUCCAAGUUGCCAAGAAAUAGUGCCUUUGCACGAGUCAAAAACUGAUGUAUUUACACGGGUUGCCCUCGUUCCGUAUAUGAGUUCUUCCAAAUUUCUCGUAUCCUUUUUCAUGGAUUAGCAUCUCGAGGUCCUUUGAUGGGCAUAAAGAAAUUGUCUUGGUAGCAACCACCAAACCAAUAGAACAAGGGUUAGCUCCGCAGCAGGUCUACAAGCAAGGUAAGUAGGUCCAUUACCAGCCGGCUCCAGAUCGAAAAGACCUAAUGGGCUAAUCCCUUAUUUAGGAUCGUAGAUGCUAACGGGACGGGAAUCGAAGUGGGGGACCCCUCUACCGCCUGUGUCUAUCUCCUGUCAAGUAUGCUCCCCAGACAUAGACUACGUACAGGGUAGUACUCUUGGAAAGAUGGAAUAUCACCGCGUGAACAUAACAUUACAUUAAGUUAUGAAUGUAACUCCCGAAGGAUCGACCAUUAUUCUAAAUAUAGUAAGGUGGAGAACUGUUGUUCAGUGGAGCGCCGGAGUGCGGAGGUUGUUCCCAUCAUUGAAGUCAGGGUGUGGGACUGAGCCUUCCAAAUGAGAAAGAAGAAAAGUGCAACGUUUCGUUGGAAAAACCAACGCAAAUAUCAUAUUGACUUUCUCUCGCCCUACUUAUAAAGAUAGAUAGAAAAGGUUGAAGAGAAUUUCAUAAAGUCAUUCUCUCCUUUCUAAAGCUGCGGAAGGCGGCCCCCCAGAACAAAGCCCCACCCCUCUUUUCCCCCUUUUAAUGAAGGACCCUCGCCUCGCUUCCUAUUUAUUUAUGGGUCUGGACCCGAUUUUAAUUUUUUCAAUUUUGAGAAUCAACCAACGGAAAAUUCCGUAGUCCAGGUGACUCACAGCCUCCCUCUUGCCCAAAUAAAUGAAAUGGCAUGAAUCAAAUUAAUAAGCUUUUUGAUUGAUUCUGGGCCCAGCGAAGCCAAAUUCAAUCAAGGAAAGGGGGCUUAAUUUUCUUGAGGUUGAUUCAUCCUAUUCAAAUUUAGCUAUGCUAAUGGAAGAGGAAAAGUUUUUAGAUGAGAUAGACCCCCAAGAGAUGAGCGAGAACCCCCAAUUGCUUAGGGUCGCACUCUGUCCCACUUGGUGGACGAAAUCUUCUCUCCUUUUAGAAUUCUUUCUCCCACAUACCUUUUUUGCCCUCUUUCGCCGAGUUGGAAAGAAUAAUCUAAAAAGUGGACAGAGACCUAAAUUUCCAUUAGAUUCAUUCCUAAGCUUGCUUUGUUGUAGCAAGAUGAUCAGUCCGAGAGUGCUGGAGAGAAUAGAAAGUGGUAAAAACCUCUCUUAUUCGGUCACUGAGAAGUCGGACGACUCUUCAGUAACCCAGGGUGAUCCGACCCCUUUGAUGCUUUUUUCGCUGUAUACCCCCUCCAUCCUUCAGAGGUGGAAGAAAGGGUACUCACAUUUUAAUACAUAGUUGGGCCCCAGAACGCUAAAAUGCGGGGGAACAAGAGUUGUCACGAUAGAAAAGAGAAAUAAAUAAAUGACUAUAAGGAACCAACGACUCUCUCUUUUUAAACAACCUAGAUCCUCCACACUUAAUCAGUAUUUGAUAGAUUAUCCAACCUCGAGCAAUCUUAGUUAUUGGUGGGGGUUCGGUUCAUUAGCUGACAUUUGUUUAGUCAUUCAGAUAGUGACUGGCAUUUUAUUAGCUAUGCAUUACCACCUCAUGUGGAUCUAGCUUUCAACAGCGUAGAACACAUUAUGAGAGAUGUUGAAGGGGGCUGGUUGCUCCGUUAUAUGCAUGCUAAUGGGGCAAGUAUGUUUUUCAUUGUGGUUCACCUUCAUAUUUUUCGUGGUCUAUAUCAUGCCAGUUAUAGCAGUCCUAGGGAAUUUGUUCGGUGUCUCGGAGUUGUAAUCUUCCUAUUAAUGAUUGUGACAACUUUUAUAGGAUAUGUACUACCUUGGGGUCAGAUGAGCUUUUGGGGAGCUACAGUAAUUACAAUCUUAGCUAGCGUCAUACUUGUAGUAGGAGAUACCAUAGUGACUUGGCUUUGGGGUGGGUUCUCCAUGGACAAUUCUACCUUAAAUCAUUUUUUUAGUCUUCAUCAUUUACUCUCCUUUAUUUUAGUAGGCACCAGUCUUCUUCAUCUGGCCGCAUUGCAUCAAUAUGGAUCCAAUAAUCCAUUGGGUGUACAUUCAGAGAUGGAUAAAAUUGCUUCUUACCCUUAUUUUUAUGUAAAGGAUCUAGUAGGUUGGGUAGCUUUUGCUAUCUUUUUUGCCAUUUGGGUUUUUUAUGCUCCUAAUGUUUUGGGGCAUCCCGACAAUUAUAUACCUGCUAAUCCGAUGUCCACCCCACCUCAUAUUGUGCUAGAAUGGUAUUUCCUACCGAUCCAUGCCAUCCUUCGUAGUAUACCUGACAAAUCGGGAGGUGUAGCCGCAAUAGCCCCAGUUUUUAUAGUUCAAGUUUUCGCCCGAUUCACCAAGGAAUAUUUUGGUUGCUUUUGGCGGAUUGCUUACUACUAGGUUGGAUCGGAUGUCAACCUAUGGAGGCACCCUUUAUUACUAUUGGACAAAUUUCUCCUUUAGUUUUCUUCUUGUUCUUUGCCAUAAUGCCUAUUCUGGGACGAGUUGGAAGAGGAAUUCCUAAUUCUUACACGGAUGAGACUGAUCACACCUGAUUAGUGAGAAAUUCUGACACCAAUCAUUUACGAGUGAGUAUUACACCAAGAAUUUACAAGCGGAUCGAGGAAUGAAAGGAGAGGAAUUAGAAAA